rnacentral:lncRNA from 1 species
AUACAGCAUGAGACAAUAGUCGAUCAUCUGAUAUCACGUGAUGUGUUGACCAUAGCUGAUAGUCAAAUGAUAAAUGCUUGUCCCGCACAGAUACAAAAGAACAGGAAAUUAAUGGACAUACUUUUACAUGGAAGUGAAAAAGUAUUUAAUGAAUUUCUCAAAGCUCUACGAGAAGACUCUGUGUAUUUGAACUGGCAGAUGAAAUAGAAAACACAACAGUUGCUAGCAGAGAUAUAUCAACCAUUAAGAGUUGAUUUAAAUAAACAGAUAGUAAGUUAAAAGUAAAUAUAUCAGUUGGUGGUAGGACUACACCCUUUUUCUUCAACACAUUUUUAUGCAUUUUAGAAAUUUGAAGAAUUACCAAUAUCAAAUGACUAAGUGAAUUACAUGUAUUGAGGGAUAUAGUAAACAUUAGAUAGUGACUUAGAUGGAGAGUUGUCUCAUGGGAACUCAUAACACAUCUUCUUAUAUCUAAAUAGAUGUAUUUAACGUAAUAGUAAAAAAAUGUAUAUCCUUAUUUUAACAAACACAACCAUGUUGGUAAGAACAAAUUAGAAAUAUGACAUGAUUGUCAAUGACAACGUCCCAUCAAGACUAUAUGUCGUACAAAGUAUCAAUUAUACGAACGUUAUUGAACCUUGGGCAACAUUGAUACCAAAAAGACAAAAUCUUUCAAACAAGAGGAAAAUAACUGCCUGAUAAAAGUGGUGGACUAAGUAGAUAUAGGAAUAUGUGGUGUGAGUGUCAAUGAGACAACUCUCCAUCCAAAUAACAAUUUAAAAAAAGUAAAGUACCAUUAUAGGUAAAUGUACCGCCUUCAACACAGAGCCUGGGCUCACACCGAACAACAAGCUAUAAAGGGCCCCAAAAUUACUAGUGUAAAACCAUUCAAGCGGGAAAACCAACGGUCUAAUCUAUAUACAAUAAAAAAGUCAGAAACGAAAAACACGUAUAAAUUACAUAAACAAGCGACAACUACUGUACAUCAGAUUCCUAACAUAGGACGGGUGCAAACAUUUGCAGCGGGAUUACUAAGGUAUUCAAAAACAGUCGGCAUUGGUAUUGAUUACAAUAUAUCAUGCCAUUCAAUAUCUAGUGGUAUACUAAAUAAAUGUGUUCCGAAAGGGUAAGCAUAUUUGAAAUUAUAUCAUACCAUGCAUUAUUCAGUGGAGUACUAAGGUGUUCCAAGAGGGGUAGCAUUAUUUACUUUAUUGCUCAGUGGUGUUCCCUGUUGUUAUCAAAGGGUCAGUAUUGAUUUCAUUUUAUCAUCUCACUUAUUGCUUAUUACUUUUUAUAACCCCAUUUGUAAUGCAUCAAUGUUCAUACAUAAUAUCAUCCCAUUUAUUUUCAAUUAAAACAAGUAGAAUUUUCACAUUAUAUGAUGUUCUAAAACUUUAAAUCUGUAAUAAAAACUGUUAAUACUUCAUUUUAAACAGAGACAAGAUCAAAUACAAGAGAUGGAACCAACAAGGAAUCGUCAAAGUUUCACAACGACUCGUCAAAAUUUCACAAAGUCUCGUCAAAAUUUCACAACGUAUUGUCAAAGUUUCACAACGACUCGUCAAGGUUUCACAACAUCUUGCCAAAGUGUUAACUUAGUUCUUGUUUAAAAACUAAAAAUUAACAGAAGAGACAAUCCUUGACAGAAA